ACGAACGCUGGCGGCGUGCUUAACACAUGCAAGUCGAGCGGUAAGGCCCUUUCGGGGGUACACGAGCGGCGAACGGGUGAGUAACACGUGGGUGACCUGCCCUCAGCUCUGGGAUAAGCCUGGGAAACCGGGUCUAAUACCGGAUAUGACUCCAUGACGCAUGUUGUGGGGUGGAAAGCCUUGUGCGGCCGAGGAUGGGCCCGCGGCCUAUCAGCUUGUUGGUGGGGUGAUGGCCACCAAGGCGACGACGGGUAGCCGGCCUGAGAGGGCGACCGGCCACACUGGGACUGAGACACGGCCCAGACUCCUACGGGAGGCAGCAGUGGGGAAUCUUGCGCAAUGGGCGAAAGCCUGACGCAGCGACGCCGCGUGAGGGAUGACGGCCU
rnacentral:rRNA from 1 species